UUUUCGUUUAAUAAAGGUCGACUACGUUCUUGCAAUUUUUACGGUGAUCGGUGAUUGUUAACGGCGAUUUACACUAAUGGGUUGGAUUGGUUGUUGGCGAUUGUCGCGUUUAGUGUUCAUUCAGGGUGUUGACAAUUAGUGCUGUUAUUGUGAAGAUUUUCCGUCGAAUGACAAGUUUGAUAGGCGACUUCGAGUGAAACAGCUGAUCAUCGUUGAGACUUCUGAGGUGGGUUAGAAAACAUAGUUGGAAGAGACAAGAAUCGUCUGUGAGUGGAAUUGCUUCGCAUCCUAAUAAUGUUUUUUAGUGGAAAUUCUAAACAGCGGUAUAACCAUCUUUGCCACCAAUGGCAGGUUUUCAACUGAUCACAUUUUGCUCAUUUUUUAUGUUAUAUACUGG